GGGCCUGUGGUCUAGCCGGUAUGACAACGCCCUCACACGGCGUAGGUCCCCGGUUCAAAUCCGGGCGGGCCCA
rnacentral:tRNA from 1 species